rnacentral:rRNA from 1 species
GAUGAACGCUAGCGGGAGGCCUAAUACAUGCAAGUCGAACGGUAAAUGGUAGCAAUACUAUGAGAGUGGCGUACGGGUGCGUAACGCGUACACAACCUGCCUUGUACUGGGGGAGUAGCCUCGGGAAACUGAGAUUAAUACCCCACUAAUUUUACGUAAGUAGCAUUACUUUGUAAUUAAAGCUCCGGCGGUACAAGAUGGGUGUGCGUCCGAUUAGGUAGUUGGUGAGGUAACGGCUCACCAAGCCGACGAUCGGUAGCUGGUCUGAGAGGACGAUCAGCCACACGGGCACUGAGACACGGGCCCGACUCCUACGGGAGGC